rnacentral:rRNA from 1 species
UCUGGGAUAAGCCUGGGAAACUGGGUCUAAUACCGGAUAGGAGCGUCCACCCGAUGGUGGGUGUUGGAAAGAUUUAUCGGUUUUGGAUGGACUCCGGGCCUAUCAGCUUGUUGAGUGAGGUAAUGGCUCACCAAGGCGACGACGGGUAGCCGGCCUGAGAGGGCAGUCGGCCACACUGGGACUGAGACACGGCCCAGACUCCUACGGGAGGCAGCAGUGGGGAAUAUUGCACAAUGGGCGCAAGCCUGAUGCAGCGACGCCGCGUGAGGGAUGACGGCCUUCGGGUUGUAAACCUCUUUAUGACAGGGAAGAAGCGAAAGUGACGGUACCUGCAGAAGAAGCACCUGGCUAACUACGUGCCAGCAGCCGCGGUAAUACGUAGGGUGCGAGCGUUAUCCGGUAAUUAUUGGGCGUAAAGAGCUCGUAGGCGGUUUGUCGCGUCUGUCGUGAAAGUCCCGGGCUUAACCCCGGAUCUCGGGUGGGUACGGGCAGACUAGAGUGCAGUAGGGGAGACUGGAAUUCCUGGUGUAGCGGUGGAAUGCGCAGAUAUCAGGAGGAACACUAGCGGCGAAG